rnacentral:misc_RNA from 1 species
CAACCCUCAAGCACUGCUUGGUAUUGGAUUACACCGUUGUGUGUAUCUUAAAAGUAUUGGCAGCAGCAUUCACCUUCUUGUGUAGUAAAUUUCUCGCUAUGGAGUUGUGUUGUGACUGUCAGAACCCUUAAUUUAUUGAA